rnacentral:rRNA from 1 species
UACGGAGGGAGCGAGCGUUGUCCGAAGUUACUGGGCGUAAAGCGCGCGUAGGCGGGGAAUUAAGUGAGAAGUGAAAGGCUGGGGCUCAACCUCAUGCAGUGCUCCUCAUACUGGUUCUCUUGAGGGCGGUAGGGAGAAGUGGAAUGGCUGGUGUAGCGGUGAAAUGCGUAGAUAUCAGGCAGAACACCUGGGGCGAAGGCGGCCAGCUGGGCCGUCCCUGACGCUGAGGCGCGAAGGCGUGGGGAGCGAACGGG